GCGUGUCUGGGGGGGAAAGGCAAGAGGGGCCGCUGCAUCUUUCCAGCCCUGCUCAGUUCUUACUGGGAGGCUAUCUUCUAUUGGCUUCCCGGCUGGCUUGGCUGCAGGGAGCAGUGAAGGGUCUGGCAAGACUUCGGAGCGUCAAGGGAGGCUCUCGUGGCGGGGGGAGGGAAGAGAUUGGCGUGGCAAUCAGACUGUUGCCCCCCCUUUCCCCACCUGCAGUGUGAAAGUAAAAUUGGCUGGAAACAGAAGUGGAACCGACCAGUCUGUUUCACUCUACCAGGUACAGCAUGGGGAACUGCACAGCCCGCUUCCCCCAUAGCACAUCACCAAUAUGUCUCUCCCCAUAACUGGAGUAGAGAUAGGAGAAUCCAGACUUUGGAGUCCAUUCGUUCCUUGGCCUCUCUCCUGACGCUGCCAACGUGGAGACCAACGGCAGUGCCAGGUUCUGUGGAAUCGACUGAGAAACCACCGAAUAAUCGUUUGACGGUCCUAUCUUCGCUAUACCUAGAACCUCGGAACCCACAACCUUCCUGAUGCCUUUUCGGUUGGCGUCAGCUCCCGCUUCCUUGGCAGCCCAAACCUGGAUGCUCCAGCCCCCUCGUUUGUUGCCCCACUGACCUGCUGUCCUCUUGGUUUGGGAAUUCCCUUGGCAACAGCUGAAGGCUGAAAUUCUCUCAGGGAGGAGGUGUCUUUUCAGUGCACUUUAGCCACGGGAAGUGGGAGGCGAACCAGCACUGUGCGCCCAGGCUGCUCUGCACAGACCAGCGUAGGAAACUCGGCGCUCGGUAUAAGGGCUGAGCCCGCCUGGCUCGCUGCACUUGUGACCCAAGAGACCCCUAGAGGACAGGUGUGACACAGAAUGGCUGACACCUGCAACUGAUGGCCAGAGCCUGUCCUCUGCAAGGAGCCAGUCAUAUCUGCUGGAGAACAAAGAGAGGUGGAC